UUGAGCCAGCAAGCAAAUGACCUGUUGACUUAAGCAAGUUUCAACUUUCACCCUCAUCUCAGAGCUCUGGUCUUUCAUCUCUGAAGAAGGCGGUGGGAAACAAAUGUUAUUUCUCCUCUUCAUACUCCUUUUCUCAUUUAUUCUGCAGAACAUUUCAAAGCAACACCCAGGAACCUUCAGAAUGGUAAAAAAACAUUGAUGCUUAGCUAUGAGGCAUGAGGCAGGAGGAGUAAUACAAAGUGGACCUUUGCCCCAGGAUGAUGACUGAGGUAUGACUAGAAGGUUCUUCAUCCUCUCAAAGAGCAAACUUUUGUGGCAGUAACACAACCAGGCAAGAUGAGAGAAGCAGAUCAAAGAAACUAAAAACAGAGAAAGAAAUGGUGUAUCAUUUCACUGUGUACCCUGCAGGGAAAUAAAGGUUCUGCCCUACCUACCAAGAUCAUAUUGCCGUAGCAUCAAAAAGCC
rnacentral:lncRNA from 1 species